rnacentral:rRNA from 1 species
GACGAACGCUGGCGGCGUGCCUAAUACAUGCAAGUCGAACGCAGUGGGGACGGGUGAGUAACACGUGGGUAACCUCCCAUCAGAGGGGAUAAAACUUGGAAACAGGUGCUCAACCGAUACUGCUGGCUGGACCCGCGGUUCAUUAGCGAGUUGGGUGGGUAACGGCUCACCAAGUCCACGAUGCAUAGCCGACCUGAGAGGGUGAUCGGCAACACUGGAACUGAGAACCGGCCCAGACUCCUACGGAAGGCAGCAGGAGGGAAUCUUCGGCAAUGGACGAAAGUCUGACCGAGCAACGCCGCGUGAGUGAAGAAGGUUUUCGGAUCGUAAAACUCUGUUGUUAGAGAAGCGGUAUCUAACCAGAAAGCCACGGCUAACUACGUGCCAGCAGCCGCGGUAAUUC